rnacentral:lncRNA from 1 species
CGAUGUGCUUUUCCCCAGCCUCUGAAUAGUAACUUGCUUGUGCUUUUCAGUCUGUCCUUGAGGAAAUACACUGCUACGAGCCUCAGCUCAACAGGCUGAAAGAGAAAGCUCAGCAGCUGUGGGAAGGACAAGCUGCCAGCAAGAGCUUUAGGCACAGAGUGUCGCAGCUGUCUUCUCAGUAUCUAGCGCUAAGCAAUUUAACAAAGGAGAAAGUGUCAAGACUGGAUAGAAUCGUUGCAGAACACAAUCAGUUCUCUCUUGGGAUUAAAGAAUUACAAGACUGGAUGACGGAUGCGAUUCACAUGCUGGAUUCAUACUGCCACCCGACAUCUGACAAAAGUGUGCUGGACAGCAGGACGCUCAAGCUCGAGGUGUGCAUCUUUACAUAGAAAUAUCUCCAACCUACAGAAUUUGUUUUUCUCAAAAUUUCCC